UAAAUCAUAAUUGUACAUCUUAAUUAAAGAAAAUCCGAGCUGCAUAUCAUACCUCAUUGGAACACAUGUUUUACUCCACACAGGUGAAGAAGCGCCCUGCAUAUCUCUUCCCUAAGUCUCCUUAGUCUCUUUUACACUUGAACACAACAGUUUCAUUCACCCAAGUUUCUAAAUUCUCAUAUUCUCCACUUUUGGCCACCAUCAUCUGAAGAGUGACCACAUAGGUUUUAGAUUGCAUCAUGUGCCAUGUUGCAAUGGAUGGGAGGAUCAAGGCUUAAAGCUACGGCAAACAUGAUGAAAGUGACAUUGCUGCUAUAGAACUCAAAGUGGAGCUAAUCUCAAGUGCAACUUAAUGUGUUUUUUCUAUUGUGAAAUUGCAUAUACAGAUGUAAAUGACACUGGUGUAGUAAUAUAGUAUUAGAAUUAUAUAUACAGAUGUAAAUGGCAGUGGUGUAGUAAAUAUAGUAUUAGAAUUUUGGAAAAGUUAAGAAAGAUACACAUUCUACAAUACCACAACAAUGAAUGAUUGU